UAUAAACUAACAUUUUCAGGGUAUGGGCCUGAUAGCUUAUUUAGCUGACCUUACUGGUAGCUAAAUGGUGUAAGAGGUAGCACAAGGAAUUUUGAAUUCUUAGGAUUAGGUUCAAAUCCUACAGUUCUAGAAAUCAGAGGGUUUAAACCUCUAUUAUUUACUCUAUCAAAAUAACUCUUCUGUCAGACAUAUUUCUUUAGGUUUGAGGAGGUACACAUCCUAU
rnacentral:lncRNA from 1 species